rnacentral:rRNA from 1 species
UACGGGGGGAGCAAGCGUUGUUCGGAUUUACUGGGCGUAAAGGGCGCGUAGGCGGCCACCGCAAGUCGGUUGUGAAAUCUCCGGGCUUAACCGGAAAGGUCAGCCGAUACUGCAGGGCUAGAGUGCAGAAGGGGCAACUGGAAUUCUCGGUGUAGCGGUGAAAUGCGUAGAUAUCGAGAGGAACACCUGCGGCGAAGGCGGGUUGCUGGGCUGACACUGACGCUGAAGCGCGAAAGCUAGGGGAGCGAACGGG